rnacentral:antisense_RNA from 1 species
AGCGCAAACCAGUCCGGCUGCUUUAGAAACAAGUUGUUUUCUGCUUCCAGAACCACCCAGGAGCCUGCGUGAUGUCUCUUCCCCCACCCGACCCCCUCUUCUCUCUGCCGGUCUCCUUGCUCCAGGUGUGGAGCAGAGAAAAGGCUAUACCCACUGAUGAACAGGGAUCCACACCUGGGGAAGAAGCAAGUAUGACUUUCUCUCCUGUGGCUUUACACAACCUCCUUGAAAUUCCAAGAGCAACCCUCCCAGCUAAAGUCUUCUCAGAUGUGACACGAUCUGCACAAGCAGAGGCGGCACAGGGUUUGGCUUCCAGUUGGGAAAUGAAGCUCCAAGGGCAGCCCUACUAUGGCGGGCUGUGUGACCUGGGCCAAGCCCCUUGACAUCUCCAGACUCGGCUUCCACAUCUGCCACCAAGACGCUGGAUUGAAUGUUGGGUACGUUGUAAGGCAAGGGAGACACAGAAGUCCUAAAGGAGAUAAAGCUUUUCCCCACUGCCCCUCCAUCUGGACGAGUCUCUUGCCAAGCAUCUUCAAGUCCCACUUUGAAACACGAUUCUGCCACCUUCCUGUUCUGAGGAUCUGGGAAAGCAAGGGGGAAGGGGCUAUUGGGAGUCCCGCUUGCUCCAGGCCCAGACCAGGAGGCUCAGGCAGGCUUAUCUACUUCUGAUGUGGUGGGGGGCCCAGGAUGCUGCCAGGGUCUCACAGCCAUGGUCUCACAGCCACUAUCAGCCUGUCCUCAAGGGUAUAAGAGAAGCUGGAAGCCUAGAUGGGCACUGCCCUCAGGCAACUUCCAAUCCAGCCAAGAAGAAUAAAGAGUAACACACAAAAUAUUGGGGGCAUGAGGCAAUAACUGUGGGUACACCUAUAAAAACCUCUAAUUGGGCUUACCUGGUACCAGACAGUAUUUUAAUUGGAUCAUAUAUAGUGCAUUAACUCAGUUAAUAUUCGCAACACCCCUAUGAGGUAGCUACAAUUAUUAUCCCCAUUCAAUGAUGGGGAAAACUGACAUCAGAAGAGGUCAACUUGCCCAAGUUUCCAGAGCUGAAAAGCAACAGAGCUGAGAUUUCACUGCAGGUAUUCUGGCCCCAGAGUCUUGGUACAAAUAGCGUUAAUGAACAAGUCUUCUUCUGGUAAGAGCACCCCGAUUUUCCUUUGGAGAACCUCCACUUCCUCAUUUCAUGUGCCAUGGGUGACCCUACCCUUGAGCUCUUGGGGUGAACACAUGGAAACGCGAUCCAGUCCUGACCAAACAGAAUAUCUCACUUCCCUGGCUACAGUUAGUGAUAGGUUCAGGAUUGUAGCAAUGACCCAAGACUGGCUUCUGAGAGUCAGUCACAUUUGAGACUGUGGCUCAAACUCUUAAGAGAAGCACUCGUUUUUCAACUGAGACACUACAGUCUUUACUACUCCUUGAAGACGGACUACCAGGAAGAAAGCCAACCUAGACGGCUGCAAAGCUGAGCAGUGGAGAACAGCAAGUUCCUGAUGACAUUGUUUGAUGGCCUAAACCCCACUAUACUUCCACUGCUUAUCUCCCUGGACUUUCCUGUUACACAGAAAUUAUCCCUUUUGUGUUGAAGCCAAUUUGAAUUGGAUAUCUGUCACUUAUAACCAGAAAGGUCCAAAUGUACUAGUGAACACAGAGCACAUACUGUGAGCACCUACUCUUUUUCUUCUUUCUUUUUUUUUUUUUUUCCCGAGACAGAGUCUUUCUCUGUCACCCAGGCUGGAGUGCAGUGAUGCAAUCUCGGCUCACUGCAACCUCUGCCUCCCGGGUUCAAGUGAUUCUCCUGCCUCAGCCUCCCGAGUAGCUGGGAUUACAGACACGUGCCACCACGCCCGGCUAAUUUUUGUAUUCUUAGUAGAGACGGGGUUUCACCAUGUUGGCCAGGCUGGUCUCGAACUCCUGACCUUGUGAUCCGCCCACCUCGGCCUCCUAAAGUGCUGGGAUUACAGGUGUGAGCCACCGCGCCCGGCCUGAGCACCUAUGCUUUUCAAGACAUUUCCAGAAAAACAAAUGCAGGUAAGAAAGGAUCAGUCUUCAAAGAACUUGGAAGCUGGUGAGGGAUUACAAAGAUUCUCAAAUAACUUUAAAACAAGUCAGAACACAAUUGACAGCACAAGGCAGCUACCCGGGUUCUCUGGUUAAUGCAAAGGGUGAGAAUUUUCUAUAUUGGAUGGAACACAUCAGAAAAGUUCUCACGAAGGUGGUAGCAGUGAAAUUGGCCUCAGAAGUCUGAUAGGAUGUUGGCAGGUGAAGGCAGGGAAGCUACAGGGCAGACAGAAUGAGGAAGGGCCCAGGUUCAGGGAAGUGUGGGCAUGCAGGGGCAAGUGUAAAUUGAUAGGAUUGCCUGGGACCAGAGGAAAGGUCUAAAACGUACAGUCUGAGGCUGGGGCGGGGUGGGGAAAGGAUGGUUCUGAGGUAUCUGAAGUAUCUCCAAAUAUCUGAAGAUAUUCCCCAUGGAAAAGAAACUAGGCUUAUUUGGAGUGACCCCAGAGGACAAGGCUACGACUAAAAAUGGACGCUCGCAAAUGGAGGAAGUAGACCUGACCCCUGACUAAGGAAGAUGGUGCUACCUGUUUGGGGCAAAUGUUCAAAAAGAGGCAGUGUCUGUAUGGUGGAUGCUGUUAAAAGGGACUCAGAAACCAAAUGAGAGUCUGAAUUAGCUGAGUUUAACAUUCUGUGAGUUUUGUGCCAGACUUGGGACUACUGCAGAAGACCCUGGGAGAGUUGGGAUUGAAUUCCAAAGGCAGUGCUGAUGGACACUGACUUGAGGAGCCAGGAAAGAAGGCAGGAACAGUGGUGGGGAUCACAGCCUCACUUGUAUCUGUGCACUUCUAUAAAUUCACAGACUGGGAAUUUUUAAUAUGAACUGGAUAUUAGAUGAUGCCCAGGAAUUGUUUUUAAUUCUGUUAGGUGGGAUAAUACCAUUCAUUGUGCUGUGUAAGAUAAUGUCCAUAUUGUUUAGAGAUGCAUACUGAAGAAUAUAGGAUGAAAUGACAU